rnacentral:rRNA from 1 species
UACGUAGGGUGCAAGCGUUGUCCGGAAUUAUUGGGCGUAAAGAGCUCGUAGGCGGUCUGUCGCGUCGGCUGUGAAAUCCCGAGGCUCAACCUCGGGUCUGCAGUCGAUACGGGCAAACUGGAGUGUUGCAGGGGAGACUGGAAUUCCUGGUGUAGCGGUGAAAUGCGCAGAUAUCAGGAGGAACACCGGUGGCGAAGGCGGGUCUCUGGGCAACAACUGACGCUGAGGUGCGAAAGCGUGGGGAGCGAACAGG